rnacentral:rRNA from 1 species
ACAUGCAGUCGAGCGANCNGAUNAGAAGCUUGCUUCUAUGACGUUAGCGGCGGACGGNUGAGUAACACGUGGGCAACCUGCCUGUAAGACUGGGAUAACUUCGGGAAACCGAAGCUAAUACCGGAUAGGAUCUUCUCCUUCAUGGGAGAUGAUUGAAAGAUGGUUUCGGCUAUCACUUACAGAUGGGCCCGCGGUGCAUUAGCUAGUUGGUGAGGUAACGGCUCACCAAGGCAACGAUGCAUAGCCGACCUGAGAGGGUGAUCGGCCACACUGGGACUGAGACACGGCCCAGACUCCUACGGGAGGCAGCAGUAGGGAAUCUUCCGCAAUGGACGAAAGUCUGACGGAGCAACGCCGCGUGAGUGAUGAAGGCUUUCGGGUCGUAAAACUCUGUUGUUAGGGAAGAACAAGUACGAGAGUAACUGCUCGUACCUUGACGGUACCUAACCAGAAAGCCACGGCUAACUACGUGCCAGCAGCCGCGGUAAUACGUAGGUGGCAAGCGUUAUCCGGAAUUAUUGGGCGUAAAGCGCGCGCAGGCGGUUUCUUAAGUCUGAUGUGAAAGCCCACGGCUCAACCGUGGAGGGUCAUUGGAAACUGGGGAACUUGAGUGCAGAAGAGAAAAGCGGAAUUCCACGUGUAGCGGUGAAAUGCGUAGAGAUGUGGAGGAACACCAGUGGCGAAGGCGGCUUUUUGGUCUGUAACUGACGCUGA